rnacentral:rRNA from 1 species
CCCCUAGACGUUCUGGGCUGCACGCGCGCUACAAUAAUACGCACAGCGAGUAUCACCGAGCUCGAAAGGGCAAGGUAAACAAUAGAAAAGGUACUGUAAUGGUUAUAGAUUCUUGUAAUUAUUGAUCUUCAACGAGGAAUUCCUAGUAAGUAUGUGUCAUCAUCACGCACUGAUUACGUCCCUGCCCUUUGUACACACCGCCCGUCGCUCCUACCGAUUGGGUGAGCCGAUGAAACUCUCGGAUGUAGGCUAUUCAUAGCCCGCAGAAGAGAUUUGAAUCGUAGCGCUUAGAGGAAGGAGAAGUCGUAACA